GAUGUAGCUCAGCUGGUUGGAGCGUCUGACUGUGGCUCAGAAUGUCGCGGGUUCGAAUCCCGUCAUC
rnacentral:tRNA from 1 species